rnacentral:rRNA from 1 species
AUUGAACGCUGGCGGCAUGCUUUACACAUGCAAGUCGAACGGCAGCACGGUCCAGUUUACUGGAUGGGUGGCGAGUGGCGGACGGGUGAGUAACGCGUAGGAAUAUACCUUGAAGAGGGGGAUAACUUGGGGAAACUCAAGCUAAUACCGCAUGAGCUCUAAGGAGGAAAGCUGGGGACCGCAAGGCCUGGCGCUUUAAGAAUAGCCUGCGUCUGAUUAGCUAGUUGGUAGGGUAAGGGCCUACCAAGGCGACGAUCAGUAGCUGGUCUGAGAGGAUGAUCAGCCACACUGGGACUGAGACACGGCCCAGACUCCUACGGGAGGCAGCAGUGGGGAAUAUUGGACAAUGGGCGGAAGCCUGAUCCAGCCAUGCCGCGUGUGUGAAGAAGGCCUUUUGGUUGUAAAGCACUUUAAGCGAGGAGGAGGCUCUUAAGGUUAAUACCCUUGAUGAGUGGACGUUACUCGCAGAAUAAGCACCGGCUAACUCUGUGCCAGCCGCCGCAGUAAAAC